rnacentral:piRNA from 1 species
UCCAAGUUUGAAGGCAGUGUGGUCUCCAGU